GACGAACGCUGGCGGCGUGCUUAACACAUGCAAGUCGAACGGAAAGGCCCUGCUUUUGUGGGGUGCUCGAGUGGCGAACGGGUGAGUAACACGUGAGUAACCUGCCCUUGACCUUGGGAUAACUUCAGGAAACUGGGGCUAAUACCGGAUAGGAGCUCCUGCUGCAUGGUGGGGGUUGGAAAGUUUCGGCGGUUGGGGAUGGACUCGCGGCUUAUCAGCUUGUUGGUGGGGUAGUGGCUUACCAAGGCUUUGACGGGUAGCCGGCCUGAGAGGGUGACCGGCCACAUUGGGACUGAGAUACGGCCCAGACUCCUACGGGAGGCAGCAGUGGGGAAUAUUGCACAAUGGGCGGAAGCCUGAUGCAGCAACGCCGCGUGCGGGAUGACGGCCUUCGGGUCGUAAACCGCUUUCGCCUGUGACGAAGCGUGAGUGACGGUAAUGGGUAAAGAAGCACCGGCUAACUACGUG
rnacentral:rRNA from 1 species